rnacentral:rRNA from 1 species
UACGUAGGGUGCGAGCGUUGUCCGGAAUUAUUGGGCGUAAAGAGCUCGUAGGCGGCUUGUUGCGUCUGCCGUGAAAAUUCACAGCUUAACUGUGGACGUGCGGUGGAUACGGGCAGGCUUGAGUUCGGUAGGGGAGACUGGAAUUCCAGGUGUAGCGGUGAAAUGCGUAGAUAUCUGGAGGAACACCGGUGGCGAAGGCGGCAUCCUGGACCGGCAUUGACGCUGAGGCGCGAAAGCCAGGGGAGCAAAGCGGG